UGGGGAAUAUUGGACAAUGGGCGAAAGCCUGAUCCAGCAAUGCCGCGUGAGUGAUGAAGGCCUUAGGGUUGUAAAGCUCUUUUACCAGGGAUGAUAAUGACAGUACCUGGAGAAUAAGCUCCGGCUAACUCCGUGCCAGCAGCCGCGGUAAUACGGAGGGAGCUAGCGUUGUUCGGAAUUACUGGGCGUAAAGCGUACGUAGGCGGUGACUCAAGUCAGAGGUGAAAGCCUGGAGCUCAACUCCAGAACUGCCUUUGAAACUAGGUCGCUAGAAUCACGGAGAGGUGAGUGGAAUUCCGAGUGUAGAGGUGAAAUUCGUAGAUAUUCGGAAGAACACCGGUGGCGAAGGCGGCUCACUGGCUCGAUACUGACACUGUGGUGCGAAAGCGUGGGGAGCAAACAGGAUUAGAUACCCUCGUAGUCCCUGAGCGGGCUGGCAAGGCGCAU
rnacentral:rRNA from 1 species